rnacentral:snRNA from 1 species
GCGCUUGCUUCGGCAGCACAUAUACUAAAAUUGGAACGAUACAGAGAACAUUAGCAUGGCCCCUGUGCAAGGAUGACAUGCAAAUUCAUGUAGCAUUCCAUUUUUGG